UCCUUCAUAGCUCAGUGGUUAGAGCGUCCAACCGGCACCUGGAAGGUCAUGGGUUCGAUUCCCGUUGGGGAGCUCAGAA
rnacentral:tRNA from 1 species